rnacentral:rRNA from 1 species
UACGUAGGGGGCUAGCGUUGUCCGGAAUCAUUGGGCGUAAAGCGCGUGUAGGCGGCCCGGUAAGUCCGCUGUGAAAGUCGGGGGCUCAACCCUCGAAUGCCGGUGGAUACUGUCGGGCUUGAGUACGGAAGAGGCGAGUGGAAUUCCUGGUGUAGCGGUGAAAUGCGUAGAUAUCGGGAGGAACACCAGCGGCGAAGGCGGCUUUCUGGACCAAUACUGACGCUGAGACGCGAAAGCGUGGGGAGCAAACAGG